rnacentral:rRNA from 1 species
CGUAGGGUGCGAGCGUUAAUCGGAAUUACUGGGCGUAAAGUGUGCGCAGGCGGCAGAGCUAAGUCGAGUGUGAAAGCCCCGGGCUUAACUUGGGAAUUGCGCUCGAAACUACUUUGCUGGAGUGUGGCAGAGGAAGGUGGAAUUCCACGUGUAGCGGUGAAAUGCGUAGAGAUGUGGAGGAACACCAAUGGCGAAGGCAGCCUUCUGGGCCAACACUGACGCUCAUGCACGAAAGCGUGGGGAGCAAACAGGAUUAGAUACCCUGGUAGUCCACGCCCUAAACGAUGACGACUAGUUGUUGGAGGAGUUAAAUCCUUUAGUAACGCAGCUAACGCGCGAAGUCGUCCGCCUGGGGAGUACGGUCGCAAGAUUA